GUGCCAGCCGCCGCGGUAAUACGGGGGGUGCAAGCGUUGUUCGGAUUUAUUGGGCGUAAAGCGCGUGUAGGCGGUUUGGUAAGUCUGAUGUGAAAGCCCCGGGCUCAACCUGGGAAGUGCAUUGGAUACUGUCAGACUUGAAUACGGGAGAGGGUAGUGGAAUUCCUAGUGUAGGAGUGAAAUCCGUAGAUAUUAGGAGGAACACCGGUGGCGAAGGCGGCUACCUGGACCGAUAUUGACGCUGAGACGCGAAAGCGUGGGGAGCAAACAGGAUUAGAAACCCGGGUAGUCC
rnacentral:rRNA from 1 species